rnacentral:rRNA from 1 species
AAUGAACGUUGGCGGCGUGGAUUAGGCAUGCAAGUCGUGCGGAAAGGCCCCGCAAGGGGUACUCGAGCGGCGAAAGGGAUAGUAAUACGUGGAUACCUGCCCCUGGGACGGGGAUAGCUGCUGGAAACGGCAAUUAAUACCCGAUGACGUCUCCGGACCAAAGGUGUGAUUCCGCCCGGGGAAGGGUCCGCGUCCUAUUAGCUAGUUGGUGAGGUAAUGGCUCACCAAGGCCACGAUGGGUAGCGGGUGUGAGAGCACGACCCGCAUCACUGGGACUGAGACACUGCCCAGACACCUACGGGUGGCUGCAGUCGAGGAUCUUCGGCAAUGGGCGAAAGCCUGACCGAGCGACGCCGCGUGCGGGAUGAAGGCCUUCGGGUUGUAAACCGCUUUCGGAGGGGAGGAAACGCUUUGAGUUAAUAGUUCAAAGCCUGAUUUAACCCGGAGAGGAAGCAGUGGCUAACUCUGUGCCAGCCGCCGCCGUAA